rnacentral:tmRNA from 1 species
GGGGAUGAUCAGUUUCGACAGGGAAAUAAGGAUAUGUAUGUGCGCAACAAAGUUGGGGCAUCUUUUGAAACUGCCUCAAAAUCAAGUGCGAACAAAGUAGCACGUGCAGUACUCUCGCCUAUUCAAAUGGCAGACCUGCAGCCCGCUUACGCUCUCGUAGCCUAAGCGCCGUCCAUGAAGCCGACGCUUGAUCAAGCUUCACCGGGCGUAAAAAUCUCAAGCACUGAUGCGGGCCUGUCCCACCCGUAUCUAAGAAAUGGGACUCGGCAAUGUAUCGUUUCGUUCAUCUUUAAGAUGCAUCGCUCAAACCUCAAGACGAACUACGUUGUGUAGAAUCAUUCAUAUUCUCUUCUCUGGACGCGAGUGCAAUUCUCGCCAUCUCCACCC